rnacentral:rRNA from 1 species
UGGUGGGGUAGAGGCCUACCAUGGCGACCAUCUGUGCCUGGACUGAGAGGAGGAUCAACCACACCGGGACUGAGACAGGGCCCGAACUCCUACGGGAGGUACCAGUGGGGAAUAUUGGACAGUGGGUGGAACCCUGAUCCAGCCAUGCCGCGAGUGUGAAGAAGGCCUUUUGGUUGUACAGCACUUUAAGCAGUGAAGAAGACUCUUCGGAUAAUACCCGGG